AACACGGCGCGAACGGACUUCACAACAAGGAAGCAGCUGCAGCGACUUUGGCGAGCAGCGCGGAGCCUCAGAGGAGCUCCAGAGCCACGAGGAGGAACACGCAGCCAGAAGAGAUCCACUUGGACCGGAGAGGAUUCACCAGCACCUGCAGUGCAGCCUGCAGAUCCACCUGCAGCCCCACCUGCAGCUCUACCUGUCCGGCCAGCAAUGGUCUCGUGCCCCGGAGGACCAUGACACGAUGACAUAAUGCCAUUAUAGUGAAGCCAUAUUGUAAAUAUUCUGUAUCAAUAUUUGUGUUCUGUUUUCUAUUUCUCAACAUGAAUAUUAUGGAGAAUAUGUUUACUUUUUGUAAUGUAUAAUACAUUUAUUUGAAGAAGAAAAAAUGUAAAUGGUAAUUUUUUAUUUGCACACACCCCAUGAAACUUUAUCUGCAAUAUUAAGUCAUUUCUCAGUCCCAUCUUUAUCAUUUUGGUGAAUGUGUGACGGACCACAUCAUUUCUACUCAAAAAACGAUAAUACAAAAUGUGGUUUUUGACAUCUUUACAUGUAUCUAGCAUUGUAUUCAGAUAUUUCACUGCUUUUGUGAACCCAUGACUUUUGGUAAACCAAUUUUAAACACCAAAACAGUUGGUCCACAUGAGUAAAGGUGUGUUUUCAGAAGAGAUAUGAAGAAUUUUUAGAAAUCGAACUUACAUUUUCAGCUUGUACCUGAGGUCAAUUGUGCCUCAUUAUAUAGAGAGCUGAGAUUGUUCUGGAAUUUUUGAUGUAUAACACAUGGGUAUGUGUCAUAUGCAAAAGCCUUUUAAAGGUGAAUUUAAUUUUGUUUGUAAAAUCGAGUCGAAAGGGCUGCGUUUGAGGCACAACUCAGAGCUGCAGCACAACAACAUCCUCAAAGAAAGACACAAGGAGGAGAGCAUUGACACAUUCUGGAUAUCCUGUGUUCUGAGGAACACAAACCCUGCAUUAAUCCUGUGUGCUCAGAAAAUCCUGACCUGCUUUGGAUCUACUUAUGUGUGUGAAAGCUCCUUCUCUGCCAUGGGAAUAAUAAAAUCAAAGCAGCGUUCCAGUCUAACUGACAGACAUUUGGCAGACUAUCUCAGAGCAGCUACAACUGAGCAACAACCAGAUCUGAAAGGACUUGUGAAAAGAAUGCACACUCAGAGCUCUCACUAGGAAUAAGUAAACAGUUGUUUGUUAUAUUGUUAUUGUUAUUAAUAUUUGUGAAAUGCAGACUCAGAGCUCUCAAUAGGAAAAGUAGCAAUUGCAAACUUUAUCAAUGUCAUCAAUGCAAAGCUAUUCACUCCAGUGUUAAUAAAACAUCAGCUUGA